GCAGUCGCCGCGGGAAUACGGAGGGCGCGAGCGUUACCCGGAUUUACUGGGCGUAAAGGGCGUGUAGGCGGCCUGGGGCGUCCCAUGUGAAAGGCCACGGCUCAACCGUGGAGGAGCGUGGGAUACGCUCAGGCUAGAGGGUGGGAGAGGGUGGUGGAAUUCCCGGAGUAGCGGUGAAAUGCGCAGAUACCGGGAGGAACGCCGAUGGCGAAGGCAGCCACCUGGUCCACUUCUGACGCUGAGGCGCGAAAGCGUGGGGAGCAAACCGGAUUAGAUACCCCAGUAGUCCCUGUCUCUUAUAC
rnacentral:rRNA from 1 species